rnacentral:rRNA from 1 species
UACGAAGGGGGGCUAGCGUUGCUCGGAAUCACUGGGCGUAAAGCGCACGUAGGCGGCUUUUUAAGUCAGGGGUGAAAUCCUGGAGCUCAACUCCAGAACUGCCUUUGAUACUGGGAAGCUUGAGUCCGGAAGAGGUGAGUGGAACUCCGAGUGUAGAGGUGAAAUUCGUAGAUAUUCGGAAGAACACCAGUGGCGAAGGCGGCUCACUGGUCCGGUACUGACGCUGAGGUGCGAAAGCGUGGGGAGCAAACAGG